rnacentral:rRNA from 1 species
AGUCAGUGGGCGCACUAAACCCAGAGGCGUAAUGAAAGUGACACGGGUUCGGCUGUCGCCUCGUGUGGCAGCCGGACUCAGGGCCGAUCCCUCACCGGUUGCCCUCGCCUCUCUCCCGCGUCUCGGUAAGCCGGGUGAGCUAUUUUCCCCGGCCGCAGCAGCGGGCUCGGGGGGAGGCGGGGUGCGAUGGUGUCCGUAAAAAAGAGCCUGCUGUUGCAGGGGGCGCAGGCCCGGGACUUGCCAGGACGCCGCGAGACUGUCACUUUGCUGUGAGGCUCUAGGGUCGAUCAGCGGGUCAUGCGAGCAGUCGGCAAGUACCAUGAGCAGACAUGUUGGGACCCGAAAGAUGGUGAACUAUGCCUGGCCAGGAUGAAGCCAGAGGAAACUCUGGUGGAGGUCCGUAGCGAUUCUGACGUGCAAAUCGAUCGUCGGAGCUGGGUAUAGGGGCGAAAGACUAAUCGAACCAUCUAGUAGCUGGUUCCCUCCGAAGUUUCCCUCAGGAUAGCUGGAACUCGUGGGAUGAAUUUCAUCCGGUAAAGCGAAUGAUUAGAGGCCUUGGGGACGAAACGUCCUCAACCUAUUCUCAAACUUUAAAUGGGUGAGAUGCCGAGCUUGCUUGAACGCUGAAGCAACGGCGACUAAUCUGAGUAUCUAGUGGGCCAUUUUUGGUAAGCAGAACUGGCGCUGUGGGAUGAACCAAACGUCGAGUUAAGGGGCCUAAAUGAAUGCUCAUUCAGAUCCC